GUUCCCAGGGCUCUCCGGCUGGCACAUGAGGGAGUGGCAGCAAGACCUGUGGCCCAUCCUCAAGGGCCUUACAGCCAUGAGCGAGGACGACUGCCCCUCCGUCUCCAACAUGAGAGCUGCACUCGUGGCCACUUACAGCUGUGCCAUGAGAACUCCACCUGCUCCGCUGAGACGACCAAUGUCCCUGCAACAGCCCCCCACCACAGCCCAGGGAACACUUCUCAGCACGGCUGCAGCUCCAGCUGAUGCUGGACCCAACUGAGCCAGCCCGCAAGGCCAGGCAGCUCCUGGCCUCUGCAGCCCCAGGGACGGCUCCCUCCUUCCAUUCCCUUCUCCUGACCCCACUUCAUCCUUCCCCUACCCCUGUUGUUAAUAAAUCCUGGUUUUCUCCCC